UUGCCAAAAAUUGCGGCAGUACACACCGGAGGGCAAGUUUGAUCCAUUGGUCGAUGCACUUAAGAAAUUUCAUAAUUUUAUCAAUCUGACGGGUGUGCUUGGAAAUAGAGCCACAAAAAGCAUGCAGUGUGUCAUCAAAGUCCUUGAAGACAGCUGAUCAUCCAAGGCCAGGCACUUUGACCCCUUUUCAAGCUUGCCUACCUUGCCUUUGGAACCUAUUCUAUCAAGGCAGUCAAGUUGGAUUCCAUGACAACUUCCACUCACUGGCAUGUGUGCGUGCUAAUUGUAAAGGCCAUUUCCUUGACCCCCCCUUUCUUUUUUUCUUAAUUCUGUAUAUAUGUGACAUGUUUCUCCAUCAUCUUUUUCCCUUAACUUUUUCUGUUUUCAUUGGAAAGGUUAUUCAUUGACAUGCUUUAUUACAUAAGGUUGAGGGAAGACUGGCUUUAUUGACAACACAGUUCAAGGAAUUUUGAGCAGGCCAAGUUUUUUUUUUUUUAGUUGCGAAGAAUGUUCAACAACCUGUUCUACUUUGGAGAACACUUAAUAAUUGACAAGACUUCAUGUAACCACAAGUGCAUACAUCAAACAGCAAUGUACUGUGUGUUUUAUUGUUCUUUUAGUGACUGUUGUAUUUUAGUCACUAUUGUCACCAGGUGAUAUAGCUUAUUUAAGGAUUUUUGAAACAUUGUUUCAGCUUCUUAUUACUUUUCAACAUGUCUUUCACUCCUCCUGGAGACCUUUUUCUUGUUCUUUAUUGAGGUCUCUGUCAUCUCUACAGUGCAAUUCAUUUAUAAGGAUAUUCACAAAACCCCGACAUCUGGUCAUUGUAGCUCGUUAUUAUAUUUUCACUGGCCUUAAAUCCGCUAUCCAGUAAUGUUAAACAGGGCCCGAAGAGUUGGCACAUAAAGGCAGGGUGCUGCAUCAUAAGGUUGUGUGUGUCAGCUCUGCCUCAUCUGCACAGAUGUGCAUCUGCACAAGUGAGGCCACACAGUUUGGUUUGCCAACACAUCAGGUCCUAAUCAGGUGUAUAAGUACGGUCCACUGUUUAAGGGAACACUCCAGUGUGCAGCUCCCAUUUUGCGUGCACUCCAGCUGCAAGUGCUAGCUGAAGCAAUGUCAAUGUAUUGAACAGGGUUUGUAGAAAGGUACCAAUGCCACCAACCACUAGUCGCCUCACCGGCUGCAAAGCUGGACAAUUCCACACAUGCCAGGGGGUAAAUUUAGCAUGUGCUGUACAUAUGCGUUCCCUUUAACAGUGGACUGCAAUGUACAUUGUAGUAGUUGACCAUGCGUCCACACUAGGCUAGAACACCCUAUAUUAAAGCCCACCUACAGUUGCAUUGCAAAUUGUUGCGUUGUAAUCAGGAUGUCGAACAGGAAGAAAA